CCUACGGGAGGCAGCAGUGGGGAAUAUUGGACAAUGGGCGAAAGCCUGAUCCAGCAAUGCCGCGUGAGUGAUGAAGGCCUUAGGGUCGUAAAGCUCUUUUACCAGGGAUGAUAAUGACAGUACCUGGAGAAUAAGCUCCGGCUAACUCCGUGCCAGCAGCCGCGGUAAUACGGAGGGAGCUAGCGUUGUUCGGAAUUACUGGGCGUAAAGAGUACGUAGGCGGUUAUUCAAGUCAGAGGUGAAAGCCCGGGGCUCAACCCCGGAACUGCCUUUGAAACUAGAUAACUAGAGUCUUGGAGAGGUUAGUGGAAUUCCGAGUGUAGAGGUGAAAUUCGUAGAUAUUCGGAAGAACACCAGUGGCGAAGGCGACUAACUGGACAAGUACUGACGCUGAGGUACGAAAGCGUGGGGAGCAAACAGGAUUAGAUACCCUGGUAAUCCACGCCGUAAACGAUGAUAACUAGUUGUUCGGUCACUUGGUGACUGAGUGACGCAGCUAACGCAUUAAGUUAUCCGCCUGGGGAGUACGGUCGCAAGNUUAAAACUCAAAGGAAUUGACGGCNGAAGAGUGCGAGACGACACGAGGAGAGG
rnacentral:rRNA from 1 species